rnacentral:rRNA from 1 species
UGGGGAAUAUUGCACAAUGGGCGCAAGCCUGAUGCAGCCAUGCCGCGUGUGUGAAGAAGGCCUUCGGGUUGUAAAGCACUUUCAGCGAGGAGGAAGGUGGUGAGCUUAAUACGCUCAUCAAUUGACGUUACUCGCAGAAGAAGCACCGGCUAACUCCGUGCCAGCAGCCGCGGUAAUACGGAGGGUGCAAGCGUUAAUCGGAAUUACUGGGCGUAAAGCGCACGCAGGCGGUUUGUUAAGUCAGAUGUGAAAUCCCCGGGCUCAACCUGGGAACUGCAUUUGAAACUGGCAAGCUAGAGUCUCGUAGAGGGGGGUAGAAUUCCAGGUGUAGCGGUGAAAUGCGUAGAGAUCUGGAGGAAUACCGGUGGCGAAGGCGGCCCCCUGGACGAAGACUGACGCUCAGGUGCGAAAGCGUGGGGCAGCAAACAGGAUUAGAUACCCUGGUAGUCCACGCUGUAAACGAUGUCGAUUUUGGAGGUUGUGCCCCUUGAGGCGUGGCUUCCGGAGCUAACGCGUUAAAUCGACCGCCUGGGGAG